rnacentral:lncRNA from 1 species
CAACCCAGAUCGGUCUCUGUUCACUAGAAAAUCAAGCACCCAUGCCCCAACCUGUGGGGUGUCCGGCCUAAAUUAUGGUUUUUGCGUCCUUCCAUGAAAUCAUAGAGAGUUUCGUGCCUGGAGCAGCUUUCACCGGUGGUGUCAUUUCCAUGUUCACUACUUUGAAGGCUUGGAAAGGAGUCUCAUGAAUCUCUCCUCCAACCUCGACAUAACUGAA